rnacentral:lncRNA from 1 species
GGGAUAGAGCAGUGUUAGGAUAACUGACUUUUUUGUUGUUCUCUGGGUGCAUUCUUCCCGCUCCCCCUCUCUCUCCCCCUCACCCUCUCUCUCUCUCCUCUCUCUCCCUCUCCCUCUCUCUCUCUCUCUUUUAAAAAAUCAGCCAUUUGGGGUUUUAAGCCAUAAACGAUUUUUCUUGUUGCAGGGGAUUGCAGAGGCAAAGCUAGACUAGGUCUUGGAGGCUGGUGUAAGGCGGUGCGCGGAAGGCAGGACGCUGAUGGGAGAGACUGGUCGAAGAAAAGCCGAAAUGGAUUCUCCGUGCUUUGGAUGGAGAAAGAGGGGGGAAGUGCGAGCUCCUUCAACUCGUUCUGUCCGGUGAGGAGUGAUCCAGCUUGGGCUGACGAGAGGCUCCGGAGCCUUCACGUUCAGUGCUUUUUACCUGCCAAUCAAACUGCUACAAGACAACACCCUGAUCUGGCAUGGUCGCCGCGGGUCCAAGCCUGUAGUCCCAAAUCGGAAAAUCUCUGCAGCUGGUACACGCAAAAGAGAAGCCAGGCAACAGACAUAUUACAGAAGAAAGCUCUCGACUCCGAGAUCGAACCUAGAAAUUGUACUUUCCUCAAGAUCCGCUUAAGAGAAUCUGGCUGAUGGCUUUGGUCUGAGAGUUCAGACAUCUCUUGUGCAACUAAGAAAGACCUCAUUUUCCAUUUGCUGGAUCCUCCUGGUUUGUCAUCCCUGAGGCCUGUAAGAAGCCCAUCAGGAGGUCCCCUGCGCUGGAAGGACCAUGUGAGUUCAUCCCAGAUGAUGGGUAGCACCAUGGUUU